rnacentral:rRNA from 1 species
GACGAACGCUGGCGGCGUGCCUAAUACAUGCAAGUCGAACGCAGUGGGGACGGGUGAGUAACACGUGGGUCACCUCCCAUCAGAGGGGAUAACACUUGGAAACAGGUGCUAAACCGAUAAUGCUGGAUGGACCCGCUGUGCAUUAGCGAGUUGGUGAGGUAACGGCGCACCAAGGCCACGAUGCAUAGACGAGCUGAGAGGGUGAUCGGCCACACUGGGACGGAGAAACGGACCAGACUCCUACGGGAGGAAGCAGUAGGGAAUCUUCCGCAAUGGACGAAAGUCUGACCGAGCAACGCCGCGUGAGUGAAGAAGGUUUGCGGAUCGUAAAACGCUGUUGUUAGAGAAGCGGUAGCUAACCAGAAAGCCACGGCUAACUACGUGCCAGCAGCCGCGGUAAUUC